rnacentral:lncRNA from 1 species
UGCGAUUGGCCUCCGCAUUUUAAAGGAUCUGCCAAUCCUCAUACAUGUACAGUACCUGUAAAUGUACAGAAAGUAAAGAAAACAAUUUUGAUCCAGACAAACUUUCCUGUCCAACAGUCUAUACAUGUUCCUGAUUUCAUUUUCAUUUUUUUUAGUUGAUGCUCUGGCCAGUGGCCACCCACUAACUUCCACUACCUAAAGGUUAGUGGGUCUAAAUUUCCCAAAAGCAUGUGCAUCUCUGUGCCUAAUGCUUUGAUUUCCCAAGUGGCCAUGUUACCCGCACUUGUUUAGCCCCGCAAUAAGCACCCAUUCCCCUUGCUGCGAGGAAUCGGAUCACGCUGGCUUGCUCUGUGUACGCUAAGCACGCCAGCUCCGGCCCACGAGGCAUCACCGUGUGAUUAGCGCUUAGCAUUAUUGGUUUUGUUCAAUCGCCCGAAUUGCAAGCGCGAUAUGCACCAUGCGUGGCAAAUUUUUCGGCAUCUAAAAUUGCAGUGCUUCCCCUUGUUAUUCGUAAUCGACUAGCACCAAUCGAGCAGAACCAAUUCAAUAAUUCAUGGAUCAGCAGUCGGGAUGAAUGAUAGGAUAACGCCACCUGUUCGAAGUAAAGAACGGAGAGCAGAGCGAGACCUCGUGGAUCGUGUGGGUAGCACGGAAGCGACCCCUGCGGUGCAGCCGGUGGAGGUCCUCGGCGGACGGCGGUGGCGGCGACCUCGACGGUGCGCCGGGCGGAGCUCCCCGGCGUCGGCGCCGUCGCUUGUCCUUCCAGUGUUGAAAGGCCACCUAGUUCCAC